AGGAGCUGGCCAGUAUGCCCAGAAAUCAGAGGUGGGGAACAGCCCCUGGCACAUCCUGCAGGGGCCCACCCUUCCUUGUCUGUCCACAAGCCACAUCAGCUUCUAAAAAUAAGUCUUCUCUGUGUGGCCAGCUGUCCAGGAGACAGGGUUCACAGCCCCGGAGGCUUCGGUCCCCUGUCCACAGGGGACCAGUGACCUUGACUCACGCAGUGAUUAAAUCUCCCCACCCCAACAUUCAAGGGGCUCACCAGCAAAGGCUAGAGCUACUGACCUGAACCUUCACAUCAUGCAGUCUCAUCCCCGGACUGAGUGACAUGGUACCCUUACUUCCAUUUCAGGGGUGAGCCUGGGAGAACUGCUAUCGGAUUAGGAGCCUUUUGACAUCCCUCGCCUGCUCUGAGCUUGACUGUCACACCCGGAAUGUGAGAAAUAGUCAGGGUCAACAUGGACAGAGUGACAGUUACUUCUACACAGUACACGAUGAUACCAGUGGCGAUGACUUCGGAGGUCUAGAGACGGAAUGACUGGACUGUAAAAUGAAGGUGGCUAGUACAGUGGCCUGUGAAACCAGCACUGGGGAGAUAAGGCAAGAGAACGGAAGGCUGGAAACUCACCUGGACCACGGAGACUGUUUCAAACUACAAAUUAAACAAAAAAAGAUCUGGAGGGAGAUCUCAGUGGUGAGCCUAACAUGUACAAAACACUGGGUUCUGUCCCAAUACUGGCCCCUCAAAGAGGAAAGAAUGCAAACAACUUAACGCAUUUUUAAGAGAAGUGGGUGGUGGAGAGCUCUGUCUCCCGCCUCCUGGAUCUUGGGAGGGUCAGUUCUUCCUGGGCCUAUUUGGGGUCUACCGGGUAAGAACCGGAGCCUCAGAUUUCACCUUCCCUGUGGCAUCGGAACCAUGUAUCCGCUCCAGAUGGUCUCACCUCUCAGAGAUGCGGCUGGGAGGGUAGAAGACGCUCUGCAUGAUGAUGAAGUACGUCUGGGGACAGGGAUGGCGGGUGAGGGAAGCCCGGAUCUCACCCUCCAGCAGCCCCCACUGCUGAGCCGCCUCCCCUGUGCCACACCCACCUUUUUCCCGCGAGCCACGCGCAGACUGUGCACUCCUGAAAGAGCACAAGGCACCAGGUGAAGGUUCUAACUCCGCAGUCGCGGAUCCAUGUGACCGGAGUUCCCUGCUCCAGGCCGCGCGUCUUUCUUAAGACCCACCGCAUCCCUGAGCCUGUCACUCCAGUCCCGUCCCAGACUCCCUUCUCAAUCUGUGUCCCUUGUGAAUCAGUGAGGUCCUACCCGGAAACACGGCCCGAGACGGUCCAUCCCAAAUCGGCCACUUUGGGCUCCGCCCCGUCCACAGACCCCUCCCUCCCCAGGCACUUGGCGGUUUAGGACCCUCCUCCAGCCGCGUACCCAGCAACCGUGCCAGCAACGUGUGUGGAUGCCGCCGCAGGUGCUGCACGUAGCGGGGCAGGUGGGCGAGCAGCACCUGAACCUCGUGGCGCCUCUGGGUCUUCAGGAAGAAGCGCUGGUCGUGGCUGCCGGUGAGAAAGAGCAGUCACUGUCCAGGCUUGGCUGGAGCAGUUCUGACCCAGUCUUUCUUGCCCCUCCUUUUGCACGAGCAUGGAUGUGUCUGGCCACCCUCCCUCGCUUCAUCCCACCUUCAUCCGGCCCCGCUCCUCUCUGCCCGUGGCCAUCCCGCCAGCCUGGAACCGAGUCCCCACCCCGCUCCACCCUGGCUACAAGCUCACGACAGAAAGAAGCUGGCUUUGCUCUUGGAGGUGCUGAUAAAUUGAAGGGACCCUAUGAGUCUUGUUAGCUUCUGGUUAACCCAGGGCUGGAGGAAGGAUGGCGGAGACCUGAGGCAGGGCCCCAUGGGUGAGUCUUCAGGACCAGGCUGUGAGUUCAAGCCUGCUACAUGCUUUCAAACACUCAUUCUGGCUGUGUGCAACCAGAUUCCACCCCAGCAGAAGGAAAUGCCCCUGAAGUCAAGUGAUCUGCCAGGUGUACCCUGGAGAACCAGACUGGGCAAGGUGACCUCUGAGCAGAAGCCUGAAGGGGGAUGGAUUGGAGAAACAGGGUCCUCAGUACUGGCAGUCAGGGCCAGGGUAAGAGGGUUCAGGUGUUUAGAGCCCAGAAAUGAAAUGGAUGAGACUGGACAGGUAGCCUGGCCACCAACGGUAUCUUCAGGCUGUACUCAGUCUCAAGGAACCAUAGGAGAUUUUCUGCAGGUGAUGAAGUCAGGCUGUGGUCUAGGGAAUUUCCUCCAGAUUACUGUGGCUGAACUGUGCACACGUGUGCACACACAGACAACAUACAGGCUCACCCGCCUGCUGGGUUGCUGAGUUGGCAGUUAGGUGACCCUUUCUGCUGAGCCAGCGUGGCCCAGCCUGACAGGCUCCAGAGAGGAUGGGCUGGGUUAGGCUGGGUGGGGGUAGGGGCCCUUGUUAACUCUGCAAGCUAGCAGGAUCUGGGGGGGGCUCAGUAACCAGUGGGUAGUAACCCCUCCACCCAUUAUACAGAUGGGAAUACUGAGGCCUAGAGAGAGAGAGAGAGAGAGGCCCACCUGAAGCACACAUCCACCACUUGAAGCAGGGAGUCCCUUCAUACCUCCUAGGCUUUCCAGCUUCCCACCCCAGAAUUUCUGCUUCCUGACACAAAUCCCUGCCUCCCUCUUUUUCGUAGGUCUCUCUGAUCCCCAAUGUCACAGUAUUAGCAAGACAGAUAGCGAGCUGGACCUCCCCCUUGGGGUUUGAGUAGCAUGGGAUGGACUGGCCAUUCACCUUGGGUGGGUUGUCCAUGGAGACCUGGGUAGCAGCCCAGAGCCCUUCCUGCAACAUCUGCGUCAUUCUGUGCAGUUCAUGCCCUGGAUUGAUCUCAAACAGGCCCACUCGAUUCUGCUUGUCUCGGAGGCGCAACAAAAAGCCACGGUGUCUCCCUGAGGCAAUUGGCCUGUUUCCAGCCUCCAGGGAGGGGGCCCGGCUCUGAUGGGAAGAGGUACAGGAAACAAAGAGCGUGUGGUGUCUCCAAAGGAAAACGCACGGGUUCAAGUCCUACUUUCACUCAUUCGAAAUCUUCUCUUUAUCUUUCUCUUCCUCAGCCAUAAAACACAGGGUAAUGUUAUAACCACUCCGCAGGUGUUGAGGGGCCACAUAGCACCUGGCACAUGGUAUCCAAAUAGGAUGUAGACAGAGCAUGCUCCCCGCCAUGUUCUUUUUAUUUAUUCUAUGUGCCUUUCACAUCAUGGGUCUUGAUCCCAUCCACUUCCCUGUCCUGCAUCCGCCCCAGAGCAUGCCUUCUAUAGUCAAGCCCAGCUGAGUCGGACUGGCUCUCCCUGACCUUAGGUCAAUCGGGCCUUUCCCCCUGGCAGCAAGUAAGGUCUGUUACACGUUAUCUGCUACUGUUGUGCCUGAGCUGCCUUCAGAUGAAGCCUUGCCAGCAGGCGCCAGGAUGCUGGCAGAUCCAUCCUAUUCCUCCUCUGUGCUGUGUUCUUCUGUGCCAGCAAGAAGGGUCAAAUGGAUGCUGAAAUCACACCGGUUGACCCGUUGCUAGUGGAGCCCAUCAUAUGCUCAAAGCUGAGAGCUUGCGCUCUUAACAGCCUUAUGGAAGAGCUUAUCAUCCCCAUUUUCCUGAGGAAGACCUGGGGAGGAGAGACACCCACCUGAUCACCACCCCCUGUAUACCUGCGCCCAUGUGGGGCGUGUCCUGGUUUUUCCAGCGCAAAGUCCCACCCUGACUGAGAUGGGGGCGUGUCCACACCCCUGGCCAAGAGGAAGGCAGGACCUGCUCACUCACCCUUCCCUCCUCUGUCCCGGUUCGGUCCGCACCUACCUCGCGAGGCCCAGGGCUCGGAGCGGCCAUCGCCCCGAGCUGCAGCUUCUCUGGCUUUUGCUGUGUCCUCGAGGCCCCGGUGCAGGAGUCAAGGUCCACCUCUGCAUUGCGAAGGGCCAAUCGCAAGGCUCCUAUCACGGUUAUGCCCAAUCCGCGAAGCGGCCUCUGGCCUUGGCCGGCGGACCCCACCUCCCUGGCUGCAGCAUCCGCGGGACCCUGGUCCUGGCUGGGCGGGGCCGCCGAGCGCUGACUGGGCUGCCGGAGAAUAGGCUUUGCGAUCACGGUGGUGCCCAGUCUGGGAAUGGAGCUCUGGCUUUUGCCUGCGGGUUCCACCUCCGCUGAUGAAACAUCUUCCGAACUCUCGUCCUGGCUGGACGGGGCCGCUGAGCAUUGGCCGGGAUGCUGGAGAAAGGGCUCUCCUUUCAGUUUCCUUCUGGACCGACGACGUGGUUUUCUGGUGCUGGUUCUGGAGGCAGGUAGCCUAAGUCGUGAUCCUCGGAUCUUUGUAGACAUGAAAUUCCCAUUGACUGUCUCUCUAGUGAAGAAACUAAACGCAUAGAAAGAAAUGACUAUCGCCAGGUCGUACAGAAGUCAGCACAUCCUUCCGCAUGAUGUGAGGCACCCAGUGGGGGCCAGAGCGGAGCCAGAUUCCGGAGAUUUCGUGGUGAACUAGCUGGAGGGACACAGCUCUAGCCUGAUCUUUUAAAGGCAUAGACAGGAUGAUGUCACCCUUGUACUUUAAGCCUCGAGUGACUUGUCUUGGCAGUGGAACAGAAUUCAAACUCCUCACCGUGGCCCAGGCCAUCUGCCCUACUCUAGACUUGACUCCAAACACCUGCCUGCCCUGAGCCCCGCUGCAAGCUUCCUCCUCUAGGCUUCCCCCUUCCUGUCUGGACUUUUACUUGCCUUGAUCCUUCUUGCCACCUUGCAGGACUCUAUGCACUUCCCCCUCACUCUGGACCACAUGACCUUUAUCCUCAUCACUCUUGACAUGAGCAGAUUGUCUUGCUCAUGUAUUGGUUUAUUACAUCAAACCUCCUAAAAUGGGAGUUGCCACCAGGGCAGGAGCCACAUGGACCUCAUUUCCUGCCUCAGUGCCCAGCACAAACUGAUGCUUGAGAAGCAAGGAUUGGAAUGACGGGAGUGGGGGUGCCUAGGCCUUGAUGCGUCCCCACAAGAAAAAGACCACCGUGGCUGUAGUAAUUAUAGUCCCUGUCAUGCGUCUUCGGACAGUGGGGGGACCACCCAGAGGGGAACUGGAGGUGAAGGUGAGAAGGAUGCUUAGAUGUGCUGGCUUAAGAACGUUUAUUCAUCUUUAAAAUUA